rnacentral:rRNA from 1 species
GACGAAGGGUGCCUAGCGUUGUUCGGAAUCACUGGGCGUAAAGCGCAUGUAGGUGGCUCAAUAAGAUCAGGGUGUAGAAAGCCCCGGGCUCAACCCGGGAAGUGGCACUUGAUACUGUUAAAGCUUGAGUAUGGGAGAGGGUCGUGGGAAUUCCUGGUGUAGUGGUGAAAUACGUAGAUAUCAGGAGGAACACCGGUGGCGAAAGGCGGCGGCCUGGCCCAAUACUGACACUGAGAUGCGAAAGCGUGGGGAUCAAACAGG